rnacentral:rRNA from 1 species
GACGAACGCUGGCGGCGUGCUUAACACAUGCAAGUCGAGCGGAGCGGCGAACGGGUGAGUAACGCGUGAGUAAACUGCCCUAGACAUUGGGAUACCCUCGGGAAACCGGGAUUAAUACCAAAUGGUCUAAGAUGGAAUCGCGUCCCAUUAGUUAGUUGGUGAGGUAACGGCCCACCAAGGCGAGGAUGGGUAGCCGGCCUGAGAGGGUGAACGGCCACAUUGGAAGUGAGAAGCGGUCCACACUCUCCGGGAGGCAGCAGUGUGGAAUAGAGCACAAUGGAGGGAGCUCUGAUGCAGGGCCGACGCGUGAACGAAGAAGGCUUUCAAGUCGUAAAGUUCUUUUAUAUGGGAGGCGGUACCAUAAGAGAAAGCCCCGACUAACUACGUGCCAGCAGCCGCGGUAAUUC